UAAUGGAGAGUUUGAUCCUGGCUCAGAGUUAACGCUGGCAUCGUGCAUAACACAUGCAAGUCGAACGGGACUUUGCUUUGUAGCAAUACAAAGUAAAGUUUAGUGGCAGACGGGUGAGUAAUGUAUAAGAAACCUACCUCUGAGUGGGGAAUAACAGUCCGAAAGGAUUGCUAAUACCCCAUAACAUAUUUAGAUGGCAUCAUUUAGAUAUCAAAGAUUUAUCGCUUGGAGACGGUCUUAUAUUCUAUCAGCUAGUUGGCAGUGUAACGGACUACCAAGGCGACGACGGAUAGCCGGCCUGAAAGGGCGACCGGCCACAAGGGCACUGAGACACGGGCCCUACUCCUACGGGAGGCAGCAGUGGGGAAUUUUGGACAAUGGGCGAAAGCCUGAUCCAGCAACGAUGCGUGGAGGAUGAAGGUUCUCGGAUUGUAAACUCCUUUUGAUGGGGAAGAAAAAAAUGACGGUACCCAUCGAAUAAGCCACGGCUAACUACGUGCCAGCAGCCGCGGUAAG
rnacentral:rRNA from 1 species